UUCUGGAGGUCGAUGCUGCCGAACAUUUAAUACAUGUGUCUGGAUCAUUGCUUCCCACUCACUUUGAUUUGGGAUGUGCACUCUGUAUGCAAACAAAUUGGUGGCACACUCACGUGGAGACAUGAUGAAAUUUUGGUAGAUGGAUAGUUAAUUUUAGUCAUAAUGUAUUAUGCGGCAGGUUGUGGCCUAAAAUUAUAGCGGCAAUAGCCUUGCCACGUCUAAUUUUGUCAAUGUAGGGUUUCAGUAGAGUCGAUCAGUUACUUCCAAAUGAAUCGAAGGUUUGGAAAUUUUAUGAUCUUCGAAAUAGAACUUUGUUCUUUGUAUCAUAUACUAUGAUAUUACAAUUGUUCAUUAAUUCUCGCAUCUUAUGGUUGCUUCUGCUCACAUUGAGCUUCUCUGGUGUUGUUUUGAUGGAAGAUAACGCAUCGAUGAUCAUAGCCGAUCUCUCUUGAAAACGUGUCGUUGCGCAAGUUGGGUGUGUCUGAAUGUCUUUUAAAACUUCGCAUAUUCCUUUCUAACUGCAAAUCUGCUGUGCAGAACCCAGACUGCAUUUGCGAGAAAUUGACUAAGGCGAGUGCAACUCCAACCUUUUCUGCCAGAUCUAACUUCUGGGUCCUUCAGACUCGAUCGAGUACCAAGCCUGUAGAGGUCAGACCCAACAGGGAGCUAUUCGCUGAUUCACACGUUCAAACCACAUUGGAAUUGCCAUAAAUUCUGCAACGCCUAGUGCUACCUCGAGGCAGUUGGCAGUAUUUCCAAGAAGCCUGCCACUGCCUUCCAUGUUUUUCUCCGCUCAACCCAUGAGUUGUGUUAGUUGUGUUCUUAGGAUAGCAUCAAAAAACUAAUUCCUGUCUAUUCAUCAUAGAUGCCUCAUAAAGAUCAGUGUGCUAGAAGUAAGCACUAAAGUGCUGAAAAAAUGUAGUUGAUACACGUACAUUUUCUUGAACAGGCAAAACUUUCAGAUUGGCUUUCCCUGCUGGCAAUCGUUUAUUUAUUGGGGCGUUAGCUGAAGAGAAACGUAGCGAAAAUUACUUCUAAAUACGUUCCAACGAAGCCAGCAAUUCUAAGUAGGCUCUGGAUACAGCUGGGUCAACCCGUGGCGUUCACGGUAUUAAAUUUCUUCAGUGAGCUUUUUCUGUGCUGAAGUUUCUACUCUGGCUGAUUUCUUUUGUACUACUGAGGAUAUGGUCUACAAUUGUAUUGCGUUCAAUAGAAAAUAAAUUCAUGCGAUAAUUAACAGAA